AGAGGCGGAAGGAGGGUGGAGGGAAGGCGGGGCUCGAUCAGCUGACUGGUGGGCGCGGUCAGCUGAUCAUAGUGACGGGGAGGGACUCUUGACAACUUUUUUUUUUUUAAGUUGACAUUUCCCCGUGCCACAGCCUUCCCCACCCGUGCUGCCCGCCUGUCAUGAGGGCGAGGACAGCUGCUGGCGCUGAGGCGUCGGGCCCCGCACACGGAACACUAAAGUUGUUAUAGGAUUGUGCUGUUUCUGAGCUGCCACCACCACCACCACACACAGCUGACUGCCCGACCUGCGUUUGGGGUCCAGGAGUCUCGUCAUAUCCAGCUUUGUGUGUCAAGUAUCAUGGAUGUUAUUUUUGCUUCCACUCUGUCCUAAGUUGAUGCAUUCAUCACUGAGCCAAUGUCUUCAUCUACGUAUGUUUGUACAGUUUCCCUCCAAUUUCCUGAAGUUAAAUUUCCUUUUUUUUUCUAUUCGAAUUUCAAGAUCAUGGAACUUUCAUGCGACCACUAUUGUAGAGACUGAUUGUUGUUCACAGGCCGUCCACUUGUUUGUUGUGUGUAUUCUAACAUCCAUCCCUGGUCUUACCUCCCAUAAUGGUUCUUCUUGCACUACAAACUGUCUCCUUGUGGCAGGUCUCCCAAGCCAGAGUGAGCUGCUGCAGGCUCUCUUGAUUACACUGGGGAAGACUAAUUUUGAAGGACAGGAUGAGAGGAACAAGGAAAUCUAUUUAUCAAUCUAUGGGGCAUUCAGGAUUGGAGCUUCGACUUGUUACCUCAGUGUUCAAGAAGUCAAGCGGGAGUGAACCUCUUUCCUGGAGCCAGAACAUCUCCGUCCUUCACUCAUAAGACUGUGCGGUGCUUGGUAAAGACAUUACAGGUAGAAAAUCGUGUCUUCUUAGCAUCUCCGUCGUGAGUUGCGUCCUCCAAGGCAUACCAGUUCCUCCUCCUUCGCCGAGUCAUGUCCAUCAAGCAAGCGAGGGAAUCUGAAGUCCAAGGUAACCAGUGCAGAGUUUGAGUGGAGCGUUGUCAGUUUAUCCUACUCAGCUCAUUGUAUUAUCUGACUAUGUGGGGGCUCAGGGGGGGGGGUGGGGGGGGUCUGAGAGGGGUUGUAAACAUACUGUGGGGUGACAUCCUGUGGGUUCCUGAGAGAGAGAGAGAGAGAGAGAGAGAGAGAGAGAGAGAGAGAGAGAGAGAGAGAGAGAGAAUUUACAUGGAUUUACAUAGAAAAUCAGACCCCAUGGUCCAGACUAGGUGGUCUGUCCUUAAACCUAAAUAUUAAGUUGAAGGAAGUGACGGUCGAGCUUGUUUUUGAAGGAGUCAAUCGUGUUACACUGGACCACUGACAGUGGGAGCUUAUUCCAUUCUUGCACUACAACGUUAGUGAAGAAAAAUUUGGUGCAGUCUGAAUUUACUUGUCUACAUUUGAGUUUUACGCCAAAGUGUCAUUGAUCAUAAACAAUGUUGAUCUGUCUACAUUCGUGAAACCAUUAAGUAUUUUAAAACAUUUGAUCAGUUUUCCUUGGUGGUGACGUUUCUCAAGAGAGAACAUGUUAAGGGUGGAAAGCCUUUCUUCGUAAGAUUUGUUGCGCAAGGAAGGGAUCAUUUUUGUUUGAGAGAGAGAGAAUUAUCCAUAUUAUCCGACUUCUGACCCUUAACCCUUAGACGGCAGCAGUAUUUGAAGAGUAGCUCCCCCCAAAAUGAAUUGUCUGUAUACAGUCACUGCUGACCUUAGGGCCGUUGCAUAAAUAUAGUUACGCCGCAUAAUGGAUGUUUUAACUGUCGUCUAUAUAUGGAUUCUACCACAGUCUAGAAGUGUUGUUAUAUUUCUGCCAUACAAAACUAUGAGCCACCCAAAAUGCUCUAUAUAUCUCCCUUUGAAAUGCCUGAAUUUUUAACUUUACUACACUCACACACGACCUCUGCGUGUAACGAAACACACGAGAAAUUAAUCCAGACAAGGAAAGGUUUGCCGGCGCCAGGAUCGAACCCGCGACCAGCGUAACGGGAGAGCCACUCCUUUACCAGUUGGCCAAAGAGGUACGCCCCUGGCUAAGUGGGUUAUGGGAGGCUCGCCCAUCAGGCAAGUCAGCACUACACCUUUAGUAUAGCUAACCCUGUGUGCUGUGAAUGAUUUUUAGGAGCCCCUCAGAACUCUAUAUCCUUCCUUUAAUCGUUCCUAACACCAUCCUAUUCUCUUAUUUCCCCCUUCAUGGUAUUUCCUCUUCGUCUUUUACUCCCUUCCCCCUUUUCCUUCUCUUCUAUCUCUCAACCCUUUACCUUUCUCCUUUCCUAGUUUCUCAACCUCACUCUUAACCUUCCUCCCUCUCCUCUCUCCUUUCCUUCUCACACUUUAAUCCUGAUGACUAAUAAUGAUACAGGUGCCAAUGUAUAAGAUCAUUAAGUCCAAUUAAGAAACCACGCACUUGACUCUCCAUACGACUCUGCACUUGUUUCCUUGAGCCUUAGAUUCCCUCACUCACUCAAUGGACAGGACUCGGCAGAAGGGAAACUGGCAUGCCUGGUGGACACAACUCACGAGGGAGGUGGUGGUGGUGAUGAUAGUCAGUGUAGAAGAGGCUGACCAUCCUUAUAAUAGUUCUUGAAGGUCACUCGCAUCCACAUCUUCAUCUGCAGCAUCCACAUCUCCCACAUCUUCAUCUGCAGCAUCUACAUUUUCAUCUGCAGCAUCUACAUUUUCAUCUGCAGUAUCAACAUCUGAAAUACCAAGUCCGUAUCAGCACAGAAGACCUUUGUGUGUGUGUGUGUGCAGUCUCUUUCCAUCCCUACAAAUCAUCUUUAGUCUGUCUACCUUAUAUUUAUUUGUCUGCCUAUCCAUAAUUUCCAUCCCUACCUAUCUUCUUUAGUCUGUCUGCCUUCUAUUCACUUGUCUACCUAUUCAUUCUCCAUCCCUUCUGGUGCUAGAUGCAGUAUCUAAAAACAAACAAAAAAACCACACACUUGUCUUUUCUUUAUUCCUUCCUUUCUACACUCACCUCCCAUCAUCUACCUGUGUACCCUUUCUUACUUUUUAUUUUACCAUCUACCUGUUUCCUCCUUUACUUUACUUUCUUCCACUUGUUUCCUUCUCUUCCUUUGUCCCCUCCUCUGCUUCCUUUCCUUCUCUUUCUUCUCCCAGGUGUUGUGAAUAAUACCUUUCUACAUGGCAUCCAGUGUUGCCAAUCCUGCAAAACAAGACAUCAAUAAGUACAAAAUAUGAAAGAAAAUAGAUAUAGUCCCUCUUCCUCUUCUUCUGUCCCCUUUCCACCCUUUUUUCCCCUUCCUUUUUCCUCCUUUCCCUUUUCUUCUUCCUCAGCUCCCUCUUCCUCAGUCUCCUUAUCCAUCUCCUCCUCUGCUCCCUAACCUGCCAACUUUACUUUUUCCUCCUCCUCCUGUAUCCUUUUCCUCCUCCUCUCCCUUCCCUCCCUCUCUCUUCUCCUCCUUCUCGCAUCUCACCUGUUGAACAAAUGGAGAGACAGGAAAAAUAGAUGAAGCUAUAGUGCAAAAUAUUAAAGGAAAUGCAGAUAAAAGAUAUAAUAUUAUGAUACGAAGGAAAAUAAAGAUGAAAAAAAUAAGGAAAGAUAUAUUAAUAGUUGUGCAAAAAGAUUUCCUGAUAAAAAAAAGAUUUAAAAACAGGUUAAUGAUUUAGAGAGAGAGAGAGAGAGAGAGAGAGAGAGAGAGAGAGAGAGAGAGAGAGAGAGAGAGAGAGAGAGAGAGUAAAA